UAGAUGCUCGAGAACUCCAAAAAUUUAACAAGGAACAAAUUUUGGAAUUUGUGAAGAUCAACAUGUGGGAUCCAGAUUACCCUACAGUAGUUUACCAUCAGGAUUGAUUUAUUGUUGUAAGAGCAGAAUAAUAAUAUUGUUUCAUUCCAAUCAGUAUUGAUCUGUUUUUGAAAAGAACAGAAGAAUAAUAAUAUUUCAUGUAACUGUGUAUAAUGCCACACGUUACAAGAUUUUCUAAUGCAAGGAAGCCACAAAGAUCAGAGUUGUUUAUACGUUCA